CUUGGGUCUAUGAUUUAGACAAUUUCAUAUGGAAAAAAGUAUCCAAACAAAUAAUUGAUUAUUAAAAAUCAUUAAUGAUGAAUUCAUUGACUGAUUAGUUGUCGAUUAAUCGAUUAUUCAUCGCACCUCUUCCAUUACCCUAACUCACUUUUUUUUAAUAUAUAGAACAUAUAAAAGUCACACUUUUCUACACUCAUGGAACUAAACACUGUUUUGCAGGUAGAUUUGUUGUACCAUUAUACUAUUAAAUAAGAAUUACCAAUUUUAAUCUAUUAUUACACAAUUUCGGCCAACGCAAGGUCGAAUACCAAAAGGCCUUUUAUUUGUCCUUUGCUUUCUCUCAGUGCUGUUUGUCUUUCACCAUAAAGCCUGUCCAGAGAGUGACGGCUCCGUGCCGCCUGUCUUUAUUCAUUACACCUGCAGACAGAGUUAUUUCAGCCACGCCAUGACACCAAUACUAAUGAACCCGAGGGAGUUGGCAGUUGGUGAGACGGAACAUUCUGAAUGACAACACAAAGUGGAAAAUGAAGGUUGGUUGAAUUGUUUUCAUGAAACUCUUGAGAAGCAAUCCAUCUGGCCUGUGAGAUUAAGACGGCCCCCAAACUCAAGCUUUGCGUGCAAAGAAUCACCCAAAGAGUUCAACAGAUGCUCAAAACAAGAUGAAAGAAGCGUCAUCCUCCCUCCCUGAAUUUCUACCACUCCACUGUUCACCCCCUCAAUGACCGAGCAUUUUUUGGGGAUGGGGGAGCCAUCUGUCCGCCUGUAAACUCAUCUUCCUUCACCUCCUGCAGUGAUUGGGUGCUGCACGGCCAGGCCAGCUGGACCUUCAGCUGCCCGCGAUGUUCCACAAAGAAGUCCACCAGAGUCCUGGUCACAGUGGCUGACGUGUGGAAGAAG